rnacentral:rRNA from 1 species
UACGGAGGGUGCAAGCGUUAUCCGGAUUCACUGGGGUUAAAGGGUGCGUAGGUGGGCAGGUAAGUCAGUGGUGAAAUCUCCGGGCUUAACCCGGAAACUGCCAUUGAUACUAUUUGUCUUGAAUACUGUGGAGGUCGGCGGAAUAUGUCAUGUAGCGGUGAAAUGCUUAGAUAUGACAUAGAACACCAAUUGCGAAGGCAGCUGGCUACACAAUUAUUGACACUGAGGCACGAAAGCGUGGGGAUCAAACAGG